AGAGUUUGAUCAUGGCUCAGAAUGAACGCUGGCGGCGUGCUUAACACAUGCAAGUCGAGCGAGGCGGAGGGGGCAACUCCUCCAGUCGAGCGGCGGACGGGUGAGUAACACGUGGGCAAUCUGCCCGAAAGUGGGGAAUACCCCAGGGAAACUUGGGCUAAUACCGCAUGUCAUCGCGAUCUCGAGAGGGAAUGCGAUCAAAGGGGGGCCGCAAGGUCUCUCGCUUUCGGAGGAGCCCGCGCCCGAUUAGCUAGUUGGCGGGGUAACGGCCCACCAAGGCUUCGAUCGGUAGCCGGCCUGAGAGGGUGAUCGGCCACACCGGAACUGAGACACGGUCCGGACUCCUACGGGAGGCAGCAGUGGGGAAUCUUGCGCAAUGGGCGAAAGCCUGACGCAGCAACGCCGCGUGGAGGAUGAAGGUCCUUGGAUUGUAAACUCCUGUCGGCCGGGAAGAAGUUCAUCGGGGCUCAUACCCUCGGUGAUUGACUGUACCGGCAAAGGAAGCCCCGGCUAACUCUGUGCCAGCAGCCGCGGUAAUACAGAGGGGGCAAGCGUUAUUCGGAAUUAUUGGGCGUAAAGGGCGCGUAGGCGGCCUGUCAAGUCUCUCGUGAAAUCCCUCGGCUUAACUGAGGACGUGCGGGAGAUACUGUCAGGCUGGAGUCCGGAAGAGGGUGGUGGAAUUCCCAGUGUAGCGGUGAAAUGCGUAGAUAUUGGGAGGAACACCGGUGGCGAAGGCGGCCACCUGGGCCGGAACUGACGCUGAGGCGCGAAAGCGUGGGGAGCAAACGGGAUUAGAUACCCCAGUAGUCC
rnacentral:rRNA from 1 species